GUUCUGCUUCCGUCUGCUCACAUUCAUCUAGUAAGCCCUCUCGUUAAAGAGGAGGCAGCACACCGAGGCCUGUCUAGAACUUCUUUCAUUUAACCAACAGUGAAUAUCUAAUCUACAAGAAACUGGAGCCGUGGCAGUUUAGGAGCCUGCCAAGGUUGCAUCCCUGGGAGCUUAUUUUCUAUUGUGGGAGACAGGAAAAGAACAAGUGAAUCAACUGUGAAAUUAAAUAAUUCAAACUUAAAGCUGUUGGAACUUUAAAUUAUUCUGAGCCUUGCGAAGAAUGUGGCGAUGGGGCCUGAGUCCCAUGGCAUACAGCUGCAAUGUCUGCCUUGUUUUUUCCUAUAAUCAGGAAGACCAAACAGAGACAGAGGCGCACACACCAAGAAAGGCCAUGUGGGCACACAGCAAGAUGGUGCCUGUCUGCAAACUAGGAAAAGAGCCCUCACCAGGAACUGAAACAGCUGGCACCUUGAUGUUGGACUUUCCAGCCUCCACAACUGUGAGAGGUAAGUUUCUGUUGUUUAAACCACCUAGUCUAUGAUAUUUUGUUAUGGCAGCCCAAGCAAACACCAACAUUUGCCAAUUUUGAUUUAUUUUUUACAUAUAUGAUGUAAAAAGUAAUCUUUACAAAGUAUCAUAUGUCUCAUUAUUUCAUGCAGAAAUUGGUGACCAAAUCAAGGGGAAAAAUAAAGAGAUCCCAAAUA
rnacentral:lncRNA from 1 species